GAUGAACGCUAGCGGCAGGCUUAAUACAUGCAAGUCGAGGGACAGCACAGGUAGCAAUACUGGGUGGUAACCGGCAAACGGGUGCGGAACACGUACACAACCUUCCUUUAAGUGGGGGAUAGCCCAGAGAAAUUUGGAUUAAUACCCCGUAAUAUAGUUGAAUGGCAUCAUUUGAUUAUUAUAGCUACGGCGCUUAAUGAUGGGUGUGCGGCUGAUUAGAUAGUUGGCGGGGUAACGGCCCACCAAGUCUACGAUCAGUAGCUGAUGUGAGCGCAUGAUCAGCCACACGGGCACUGAGACGCGGGCCCGACUCCUAAGGGAGGCAGCAGUAAGGAAUAUUGGUCAAUGGACGCAAGUCUGAACCAGCCAUGCCGCGUGAAGGAUUAAGGUCCUCUGGAUUGUAAACUUCUUUUAUUUGGGACGAAAAAGGGCCUUUCUAGGUCAACUGACGGUACCAGAUGAAUAAGCACCGGCUAACUCCGUGCCAGCCGCCGCAGUAAGAC
rnacentral:rRNA from 1 species